rnacentral:lncRNA from 1 species
CAACCCACAUAUUAAUAGCGUAGGUGUUUUAUUAACUGUGCAAUAUUUUCAACACUUCCUUGCAUGCCAUUUCAUGUGGAAUAUCUUUUCUGGUCACAAAUUUGUGCAGCGAAUCUAUUUGCAUGAUCGACUCCUGGCCUGUGGGACCGUUCACUUGCACUUGAUGCUGAGUCUUUUACAUGCAUCCAUAAACUGCACAUAUGCACAUCAGAUACCUACGAGCAUUUUCAAAAUUCAAUUAUUUUAGACAACAGGCACAUAUGCAGUACUGACAUAAUAUCAAAUACGACUAAGCAGCUGGGACACAUUUUUGUUAACCAUACUCGCAGGUAAAAUAAGUGGAUCAUGUGGACAGCUCCAGCUCAUUUUCCUUAAAUCAGUGUGUACAAGGGGUAUGCAAAUAUAUUUUUUUUUCUCGCGCACCGAUUAUUUUGCUGUAUAAGCAAGAGAACCCACCACGUUAGUGUAAUGUAUCUUGUACAUCACACUAAUAUGUGCUUUAAUUUACCAAGUGAGAUGAGUUACUUCUUAUGGCUCAUUCAGUCAUAUCACACUGCAAGCUGCAUUCAUCAAUCUUCAAUUAGACUUUGCAAACGUUUAAUGAAACAUGUUUCCCUUUUAUGCAGAUAUGCAAUGGCAAGCCCUUCUGUGUGUUCCUAAGGUAAAAUUUAAGCUCUAAAUUAAAGAAGACAUUUCUAGUCAGAAACAAGCAAAAAUGGUGAAUGCAAAGUAUCAGAAGGCCAAGGUACAGAAAUUAUGAGAAGCGUCGAAUGAUUGUAAGGAAAGAAUGCUAUUUAAAAAUGCAAGACUCUUUAGUGGAAGUCAAGCAAGUCAGUAUAGGUAGAAUACUCUGCAAAAUUAUGCGAGUGAGGGGAUGUCAAACAAUGGGUCAGGAAAUGCGUUGUUUUUCUGCAAAACAAAAGCUGAUGAUUGUCAUUACAUAAGUCACUUUAGCAUCAUGAGACUGCUGCUUGAUAAAUUCAGAAAUAAACCAAAAAGCAACACACGCAAAAAUAAAAAACAAUUUAAUGAUGCUCUCUCCACACUGGGAUAAAUAAAAGACGCAUCACAUCUAAUGUGGACAUAUCAGACACCUUGUGAAACACUAAAGAAAAAAUUCAAUUUCGAGCUAUGGCACUUGCUGCAUAGAUGUGGGGGGCCUUGCACUAAUAGUGAUAGUUACCACUGCACUUAGAAAUUGGAAGCAUUCAUGCAGACAAGGAUCAUUCUUUAUAUUUUUGGCUACCACUUCAAAUGCCUCCACCAAGUGUUACAAUGCUGCAUGCAGCCAUACUAUGGAUCUUGCAGCAACACCUGCAGGUAAAAAGCAGAAGCAGUCAAAGUGCUGGUGUUAAUGGACACUAUGUUUGAAAACUUUUAGGCGAGAAGAGUGCAAGAAGCAGACAUAACAACUGCAUUUAUUUACAUAAUUCCCCAUUUGAAUGGCCUUUUCUUUUUGCUUAGACAAUGCCUACGCCUAGCCACAGCAGCUCCCUCAUACAGACUCCGCAAGCCAAGAGGCCGUGGAGGCAAAUGCAGGCAGCCAGCACACCUCGAACAGCCACCUUGACUGCGGGUGUGUCACCCUAGUCACCAAGGAAACAUUUGAGGGAAAGCGACAGGCAAUGUGAACAGCCACUUCUCCAUGUAAACUAUACUCUUUCUCUCGGAUGACUCCUACGCCUCGCCACACCAGCACACUUGUGCACAAAGAGGCCGCGGAGACACGUGCAGGUCAGAGGCAAGAAGCAGUGGCACUGGUGUCGACAGUCACCCAAUUUCUUUUUCUUACACUGAGGCAGCCAGCACACCUCGAACAGCCACCUUGACUGCGGGUGUGUCAGUAGAUUCCUGUUGUACAUAUGCUCAUAAUAAACUUCAGUAAACUUGAACUUGAUAAUAAACUUGAAGGCAAAUGGGA